rnacentral:rRNA from 1 species
GACGAACGCUGGCGGCGUGCUUAACACAUGCCAGUCGAACGGAAAGGCCCUGCUUUUGUGGGGUGCUCGAGUGGCGAACGGGUGAGUAACACGUGAGUAACCUGCCCUUGACUUUGGGAUAACUUCAGGAAACUGGGGCUAAUACCGGAUAGGAGCUCCUGCUGCAUGGUGGGGGUUGGAAAGUUUCGGCGGUUGGGGAUGGACUCGCGGCUUAUCAGCUUGUUGGUGGGGUAGUGGCUUACCAAGGCUUUGACGAGUAGCCGGCCUGAGAGGGUGACCGUGUACAUUGGGACUGAGAUACGGCCCAGACUCCUACGGGAGGCAGCAGUGGGGAAUAUUGCACAAUGGGCGGAAGCCUGAUGCAGCAACGCCGCGUGCGGGAUGACGGCCUUCGGGUUGUAAACCUCUUUCGCCUGUGACGAAGCGUGAGUGACGGUAAUGGGUAAAGGAGCACAGGCUAACUACGUG